rnacentral:lncRNA from 1 species
CUAUGCCUUCACGUAGUACACUUUUCACUACAUUCAUAUGGACUUGGUGUUGAGGGUACGAGCAAGGUUUUAUAUUCUUACUCAUUUCUGUUGUAGCAGAAGUCUUCAAGGACAGUGACAUGGUCUUCUCUUUCUGUUGUCUCCAUAGCGACAAGAACUCUGCCUCUUGUGUCUGAGAUACGCUGUUGACUGGAUCUUACAUCCAAGGUUUACUCUGCUUUUCAUUCCCUCUCCUCUGUACAGAAGUCUCCCCAUCGCCACCAGCAUUCCAGUUGGACCUCAGGAGCCUAAAGGAUUUUGGAUGAUCGUCUCCCAUGCUCAGAUGCUCGGCCUCAGGCCUCAGUGUUUGACAGAAAUCAGUUAUUUUUCAGAGCACUGGAAGGUGCCCACAACUGACACUAGUGUAUUUUUUGUCACUUCAUAACACCCAUGGACAGUCCUCUGCUUCUCCAUACAAGAGUAAGCUCAGGAAUGCUUUGCUUCAUUCUAGGUCAGGCUGCCUGCAGAUAGAGACCCUUUCCUCUGCUGCUUUAUUGCCAGUUACAUUAAAUACAGUAGAUGACAAGAGUUUAUUAAUACUGUACUGUAGUCAACAUCUGUGCGAGUGCACACAAUGACCUUCAUGCAGAAAAAGAUUCCAUUGAACCUACAGAUAGCAGUGAUUCCCUUAGUGAUAGUGAAAGUCAUCCUACACAAUAAGCCUCCUGUCUCUUGUCUCCCUCACACCAGCCACGAAGGUUUUCAAAGGAUGCAUUUCAUGAACUUCACAAGAAAUUCUGACAAUAGGCCAUGA